CACCUACCUCCCCACCGCCCAUCGAGUUGCUGCCCCUGUCUCUCAGUCGUUCCCCAUUCCGUAAUCUUCAGCUCCCUCUCACGACCUCACCCUCCCCUUCGUCCCUACCUCUAGCGCGAGGACUCACACGCCCUGCUCUUCCCCGCCCCUUCCAGUCGAACCCGGUCGCCGAAGUGCACGAGGAGGCGCUCGAGCUAGUCGUGCUCGCGGGCGAGCCGGCCUUAGGCGACGUCGGAGGCGGAUGCGGAGGCGUGGGACUCACCGGCGGCGACGCCCUGCCCUGCCUGGCCUCACCCGCGGUGAGACACGCCGUCCCGCGUCACCCGCGCCCAGCUCGAGUACGAAGGCGUGGAGCAAGAUGGCGGGGCCGCCGUGGCCGUGACGGCGGGUUGUGGUGGUCGAUCUCGGCGAGGCGGCGACGACUGCGGCUCCAUGGCGAGCGCGAGGCGGGAGCGGCGGAGGUUGGUGCGCCACGGAGGAAGUUGAAGAGCGAGGGCGUGAGGGGCUGGCCAUCCUCGCGAAGCCGGUGGAAAGGGGGCUUCGAUCCUAUCUGAUGCAAUUAUUCUUGGGGUUCCUGUAUAAGAGAUAUAUCUACGGUGCUCAGCUCAGCCUACCUUCGAUUCGUACGGCGUCGCCCAUGGAUCCUCAUAUCCUUGUCGCCCAUGAGUGAUGGACGUUGUAUAGUUAUGCAGUGCUGCUGGUGUGAAGGUUAUUACCCUUUAUGGUUUAUUUUUCUUUGAUCAUAUCUUCUUUCCAUCUAUAUCUACUUCAAAUAUUCUUUCCAUGGAAUCUCAACCGAUUGGGUUUGUAAUAGGAGGUUUGGAUCAUGCAGUUUGCAGAUAUUCAGUUAUAAAAUAUUUGUGGUUCAUCAGUUCCUUUUGUGCAUGUUGUCAAGAAUGUGUCAUAUGAGCCAAGAUUCAAACGCUUCUGGAUGUGAAUUUGACAAAACGGAUCAUCUUAGUAGGAUGAGUGUCCUGAAGAAUCGGAAGAUGCUGCAAAACAUGAUGAUGUGAUACUGCCAUGCUAUUUCUACUGGUCUCUCUGCUAGUGCCUUAUCGCUCGUUCACCAAUCUCCAUCCUCACCAUGGUCUCUGUACUCAACAAGGGUGAACUCUACAAGUUCUAGUAGGCUCCUCGGUGACUCCUCACAGGAGAGCUUUUGGCCUGAUCUGAUGGAGCUGAGAGGUCAAAGGAAGAAGUCAAACCUGAAGAAGUGCAGGGAGGAAAUUACAGCUGCGUGUGUCCGGCUGGUUCAGGGGAUGUGCAGGGCGGCCGUAGCCAUGCGGGUGUCGAGGCAGGCGAUCUCGCGGAUGGAUGCCAUGCUGCGAGGGUAGGCUCCUGGGCGCCCGCUACGUUGAUGACGGAUUCCACGCUACGAGCGGCAACAACCCGCGACAAUCGGCGAUGGCGAUCGUGCAGGGAGGCGACGGUGUUGGUGGGCGGCAUCUGGUGCGGUGGUGACUCAAGGCAGACAAACGUCGAGGUCAAGGGCGAGGGAGCAGAUUUGAUUGAGUUUUCUUAGUUUGCGAUUUGAUUGCGUGAUUGUAGGGAAACACGGGAGGGAGCAGAUUUGGUUGUGUUUCCUUAGUUUGCGAUCUGAUUGCGUGAUUGCAGGGAAACAUGGGAUUGGUUGUUGGAAUACUCCUCUGGUGGUGGAGUACGGUCAGUCAUUAGAAAUUGCUAAGUACACACCAUCCCGCUAUUAGAUAAAUGAUGGCCGUUCGAUUGAAAUUUGUGGGACUAAUCGUGUGGUUCUGACUGGGUUGUGCGGUGUUGUGGGGGCUAAUAGUGAGGUGCGUAUAAAAAAGUUCUUGUUCGAUUGUUUAAUAGUAGUGGAGAUCAGGUCAGGUCAGCGUCGGAUCAACGCAGACUUGCCUGGCCUGGGGCGUCCCUCAGCGUCGGAUCAACGCACACUUGCCUGGCCUGGGGUAGCCCGUAGCCAGGAGUGGUGCGUGGCCCAAAUCGAGCGCCUGGCGACCGGCGAAGAAAGCAGCCAAGGACGUCGCUGAUGCACUGCCAGGACCUGAACCCUCAAGGCAACUCCAACGAGCACAACAGAAAAGAGAGGAAAUGUGUAGAGACAGAUACCAGAUGUACUGUAUGCAAAAGAAGGCGUUGUUGUUCCCUCAAAAAAAAGGCGCUGUUGUUUUUUUUUUUUUUUUGAAAAGAACAGACUAGUAUUCCUUAC
rnacentral:rRNA from 1 species